CAUGUAGGCGGAUUGAUAAGUUUGAAGUGAAAUCCUAUAGCUUAACUAUAGAACUGCUUUGAAAACUGUUAAUCUAGAAUGUGGGAGAGGUAGAUGGAAUUUCUGGUGUAGGGUAAAAUCCGUAGAGAUCAGAAGGAAUACCGAUUGCGAAGGCGAUCUACUGGAACAUUAUUGACGCCGAGAUGCGAAAGCGUGGGGAGCAAACA
rnacentral:rRNA from 1 species